CAUCGGCGAGAUUCCUGAGAGCUCUCUCAAGAUCAUCUCGACAACUUCGCUACAGGGGAAGGCUUCCUUUGGCGCAAGGUUUGGUGUGGCUUUCCGAGUGCUGUAUGUAUAGCCUGAGAACCAUGGCAUGCUUCAAAAGAGUCGAUGCUCAACGGAUCGAUCUGGCUAGGGAAUGUAUGAAGGAGGACGGACUAGGAUGGGGUGUGCAAGGAUCAGAGAUUCGUCGACUGAAAGGUGGGGACGAAUUAACCCAGUCAAAGAUUUACUGAAGAACCAAAGGAAGAAUGUGCACAGAAGGAAAACAUACAAAGGAAACAAGAAAGAAACUCGAUGAUGUUGACGAGACGCAAGCAGACUCCAUGGUCGGUGGAAAGUAAGUAGAAGAAAUCUAGAACUGGAACUGUUUGACAUGUCCUUUUACGUAGCAAAUGCCUGAAAGGAUCCUGCUUUGUCCUGCGGAUGUUGUUGUUUCAUCAAUGAAGCAUGCUGGAUGAGUCAUUGGGACCCCAUUCCAUGCUGGAUAGAAUGGACUGGACAUGCAAUUUAUCUGAUAAAGAAGGAAGAAUUAGGGUGGAGUUUGGAUGAGAAGUGAUUGUGAACUAAAUUGAUUGGUGGAUGCACACCAGUCUCUGAAUCUUAGGGAAGAAACACAACUUAGAGGGCAACAUACCAGCUCUGGUGGUCUUCCUCCAUCCUCAUUGACACCAAAGAGGUUACUUAGUAUUAGUUCCCUUCAAAUCUCUCCCUGCUUAGUCUAUGACCUUCAGUUCAACCUCUUCAUGCAAUCACACCUUCCUGUCUAUUGUUAAGUCUCAGUGCUGCAUUAGAUAUAAACCCUUUUAAGACCUCUACUCCUUUCUAUAGUUACCUUUAAUUAAUUUAUCCUUUAAAAGAUUUGUGAAAUUUAAGUCAUUGCAUAUGGUUGUUAGUGAGAAAUGUGUAGGAGUUGAUUGUUCUUCCUUUUCUUGUCCAUUUAAAUAUGUUAUUGACUGGUGUACUCAACAUCAAACUGAUUCUUGGAGAACAAAGAUCUGCAUCUGCACCUAAAAAAACAAAAAAAUCUGAGAUACUUUGAUAGUCAGAUCAAUUCUGGAAUUUUUCCAUGUUAAAGGUGAGUUUGAAAUCUUAUCACAUCAUGUUGUGAUUGCCAUAUUGCCAUGAAGUUCAGAACACUUUUUCCUUUUUGGCAUUCACAAGUACUGAUUGUGCACUGAUAUUAUACAUGCGAAGAUAUAUAUAAUACACACAAACACGAAGACACACUAAAGACUACUAUGUAUUUAGAUGGCAAUCUGAUAAAUUGAUUCUAUCUCUCAGAAAUGUAUGUUCCUGUGACCCUCCGAUUAAGAACUCGUAAAAUGCCACAGAUAAUGGAUGCCCAUUUGAGAAUUAUUUGGCUAAUUUACAAUUGUCUUUUCUUCCUCAACCAUUAUCCUCCAAUUAAGAGUUUGUUAUAUGCUAAAGUUUUUUUGCUCUUGUCAUGUGCAAUUGUCUUUUUUCCCUCAACCCUUCAUUAGUGUUUAUCUGAAAUGCCUUCACGUUCCAAAGUCUCCCAACUGUUGCCACUCUUUCACUGUUAAACAACUCUGAUAAAUCUUCUCUUCUUUGAUAAAACUCUGACAAAUCUUAGUGACACAACUUCUUGGAUUCCUUUUAUUUAACAUAAUACAGUUGUUUACAUUUCCGAGUCAGCUAAUUUUGUGUUUUCCAUUUUCUUCUACCUGAUCUUGCAAAGUUCCCAAAUUCUCUCCAACGAUAAAAUUAAGCAAAAGAUUAUGGAAAUCAAGUGUGUAUUUACAUGUUUAUUGCUUUUUAAUUUUUAAUAACGAAGUAUAUAGCUACUAAUAGACACAGAACUUUCUCAUGAGUUACAGUCAUUCAUGAAUUCACAGGCUUGUUGUUAAGGAUCAGGACAAAUCAUGCAUAUAUGAUCACAAAUAUUGUAUGCUGUUGUAAAAUCAAAAUGAAAGCCAUGUGUAUCACUGUAAAGACCAUGAAACAAUUGGAUUUAGUAACAGGAAAAGGCUUCUUCUUUUGCAGUUGAGAAAAGAAUAACUUCUUUCCUGCACAAAAAAGAACAAGAAAACAAGUGGAAGAUUUGAUAUGCAGCCUAUCUUUCUUUUUUCUUGGUGCUGAAAGAGGAGAUAAACUUAUGACACAAAUGGCAGGCAGCAGCACAAUGCAGAUCACCGAGUACCAUUAAUGCAUGCAACGAAACGGGGGUUUCCAUACUUUCCGGCCUUGGCCUGCGGCGAGUAGAGCUCCAG
rnacentral:lncRNA from 1 species